rnacentral:misc_RNA from 1 species
AAAUGCGAUAAGUAGUGUGAAUUGCAGAAUUCAGUGAAUCAUCGAAUCUUUGAACGCACAUUGCGCCCCUUGGUAUUCCAUGGGGCAUGCCUGUUCGAGCGUCAUUUGUACCCUCAAGCUCUGCUUGGUGUUGGGUGUUUGUCCCCGUCUCCGCGCGUGGACUCGCCCCAAAGUGAUUGGCAGCCGGCGUACUGGUCCCGGAGCGCAGCACAUGUUGCGCAAACGAGUGCCUUGGUACGGCGGCGUCCAUAAGCCCCUCUCUCACGCUCUUGACCUCGGAUCAGGUAGGGAUACCCGCUGAACUUAAGC